rfam:Elusimicrobia bacterium GWA2_66_18 gwa2_scaffold_11, whole genome shotgun sequence.
GGGCCAUUAGCUCAAUUGGUUAGAGCAGAUCCCUCUUAAGGAUAAGGUUCUCGGUUCGAUUCCGAGAUGGCCCA